UGUGGUGGCGAUAGCAAGAAGGAUACACCUGUUCCCAUGCCGAACACAGAAGUUAAGCUUCUUCACGCC
rnacentral:rRNA from 3 species